rnacentral:tRNA from 1 species
GCCAGGUCAGCGGGGGUAUGGCGUUGGAGUCGCCGAGUGCCUUCUAAGCACUUGGCCGCAGGUUCGAGUCCUGCCGGGGGCG